GACGUAGGGCGCGAGCGUUGUCCGGAUUUAUUGGGCGUAAAGAGCUCGUAGGCGGCUUGUCGCGUCGUUCGUGAAAACCCGGGGCUCAACUCCGGGCUUGCGGGCGAUACGGGCAGGCUAGAGUUCGGUAGGGGAGACUGGAAUUCCUGGUGUAGCGGUGAAAUGCGCAGAUAUCAGGAGGAACACCGGUGGCGAAGGCGGCCUUCUGGACUGACACUGACGCUGAGGCGCGAAAGCCAGGGGAGCAAACGGG
rnacentral:rRNA from 1 species